CCAUUAGGGAGGAAAAGAAACUAACAAGGAUUCCCCUAGUAACGGCGAGUGAAGUGGGAAAAGCUCAACUUUGUAAUCUGGCUGUCUUUGGCAGUCCGAGUUGUAGUCUAGAGAAGUGUUAUCCGCGCAGCCCCUUAUAGAUUUCGGUUGGAAUGCCAAGUCAAAGAGGGUGAGAAUCCCGUAUUUGAUAAGGUGGGCUUGUGCAUUGUGAUACAUUUUCAAAGAGUCGAGUUGUUUGGGAAUGCAGCUCAAAGUGGGUGGUAAAUUCCAUCUAAAGCUAAAUAUUGGCGAGAGACCGAUAGCGAACAAGUACCGUGAGGGAAAGAUGAAAAGCACUUUGGAAAGAGAAUGAAAUAGUACAUGAAAUUGCUGAAAGGGAAACGAGUGAAGUUAGACUUGCGCGGUUGGUAUUCAGCCUUGGCUUCGGUCUUGGUGCAUUUGCCAAUCAUUGCAGGCCAGCAUCAGUUUACUUUGCUGUAAAAGGGUUGGAGGAACGUGGCUCUUUCGGGAGUGUUAUAGCCUCCUUCUGGAUGCAGAAUCGUAGACUGAGGAACGCAGCGCGCCAUUAUGGCAAAGCUUUUAAGCUUCGAGCGCUAAGGAUGCUGGUAGAAUAGCUUUACACGACCCGUCUUGAACAA
rnacentral:rRNA from 1 species